UUUUUAUUAAGCUUCUUAGUGCUUGGAUGUUGGGAGCUUGCUGGCAUCUUUAGAUGUUCGGCUCUCCUCAAAUUUAUUAGUGGAAGUCUCUUUGUUGGAGUUCAUCCUUGGUGUGAUAAUUAUCUACGCUUUGGAUAGUCCAAUGUUUCCAUUGAGAGAAGAUUAUUCAGUUGAAUACCAUGUCUUUGGUGUUUUUCUGGUUUUUGUAGUAUUGCAACUUGUUGCUUUACUUGAAAUCUCAGAGGGAAAGAGAAGUUUUUGCUCUCUAACUGUCCAUUCUAUUGUGGACAACUUAUUGACUAUUUGACCUCAAAUCAGGUAGGACUACCCGCUGAACUUAAGCAUAUCAAUAAGCGGAGGAAAAGAAACUAACAAGGAUUCCCCUAGUAACUGCGAGUGAAGAGGGAACAGCUCAAAUUUAAAAUCUGGCAGUCU
rnacentral:rRNA from 1 species